rnacentral:rRNA from 1 species
AUUGAACGCUGGCGGCAGGCCUAACACAUGCAAGUCGAGCGGAUGAAGGGAGCUUGCUCCUGGAUUCAGCGGCGGACGGGUGAGUAAUGCCUAGGAAUCUGCCUGGUAGUGGGGGAUAACGUCCGGAAACGGGCGCUAAUACCGCAUACGUCCUGAGGGAGAAAGUGGGGGAUCUUCGGCCCUCACGCUAUCAGAUGAGCCUAGGUCGGAUUAGCUAGUUGGUGGGGUAAAGGCCUACCAAGGCGACGAUCCGUAACUGGUCUGAGAGGAUGAUCAGUCACACUGGAACUGAGACACGGUCCAGACUGCUACGGGAGGCAGCAGUGGGGAAUAUUGGACAAUGGGCGAAAGCCUGAUCCAGCCAUGCCGCGUGUGUGAAGAAGGUCUUCGGAUUGUAAAGCACUUUAAGUUGGGAGGAAGGGCAGUAAGUUAAUACCUUGCUGUUUUGACGGUACCAACAGAAUAAGCACCGGCUAACUCCGUG